GAUUUGUGCAAACACCGCUCAGACUGAAGGCGACCGCAGGGCUUUGAAGGAGGUUCAUACAAGAACAAACUGUUAUUGUCAAGUACAAAUAAUCAUAAGGGCCACAGAUCUUUGUGAUUUACACCAAUGAGGCUGCGUCACCGUCAUCGUGAGACUCAGGUGUGUUGGAUUCUUACAAAUAUAGUAUUUUAGUAAAAGCAUGAUGUGAAGGUUUCCAUCUGUGGAUUAAAGCAGCAUCUGUAACAAGCAGUGACCAGCAGCAGAUGGAGUCUUUCACAUUCAUCGUCCACACGUGAGCUCAGAUAAAAGUCCCGCUGGGAUCAGAGGGAGAGAGGUGGGAGGACUUUCUUUGCCUGGCCUCUCUUUCUCCUCCUUUCCCUUCAAUCCCGCCUGUUAUUCAUUCCCAGGCUGCUGCUAACAAAGCCCGGAGGAAAAGCACAUCACUGGGAAUUCCUUCGUGAUAAUUCCUCUGACAGCAGACGUUAAAACGCACAGGGGGAGAGCCACUUCCUGUCCCGGCUCCCAGUCUGGCUCGGCUCGUGUUGUGUCUGUCUGGGUCUAUUUGUGGACCUUGGUGUGCAUUGUGUUAAAUGGGGCCGGGGGGCCCUCUCUAAACCUGCUCAGGUCGGCAGCGAGGGGCCGCUCUCCAGUCCAUCGAUCGCUUUCUUUGCCGGGUCCUUUAACAGCCCUCGGGCAUUAAUCCCGCGUGUACCUCUGUCUGGAUCGAUAGCAGACAAAAGCACCGCAGGAGGCUGUCUGGACCCGAGUUCUCCAUUUACCUGCACGCCCUCAUCCUCAGCAUGAAUGCGGCUGCUCUUCCUCACUUCCUGUCGUAUAUCUCCGGCUCCAGGACCGGAUGCUCUGGUUAUGACCGACGUUUCUAAUGAUGAGCUCGAGAGGAUAUCAAGCCCCGCCCAUCUGCUGCUUGAAACUUCUGUUUCUGAGGGGCCAGCCAAUCAGACGAAAGCUGUCUUAAGGCAGGAGGAGCUGUGAACCAUUCCUCCAACAGAGACUGAGAAUAAACUCUGAGCAGAACUCGUGGCCUUUGACAGUGAUGGCGACGGAGGAUGGCGCUGCUGACCAUUUUAUUCGGCAAAACAACAGGACUUGUUGGGUUUUAAUGCGUCUGUCCAUUGUCCCGACACUGUAGGAUUAGGUUAGUGGUACUCACAGGAUUAAAAGCACGAAGGCUGAAAUCAGUUCAGUCACACGUCACUUUGGGCCACAUGCUAGUGUUAGCUUGUAGCUUGUAGCUGUGGCUGUUGGCUCUUCAUUAGCCAUUAGACAGCACCUGAUGCCUCGUUUAUACAUGACGCACAGCAUCCUCAGUAUCCUCUCUUAAUGGUUUGCUUUGUUAAAUA
ensembl:lncRNA